AACGCACAUUGCGCCCCUUGGUACUCCAUGGGGCAUGCCUGUUCGAGCGUCAUUUACACCCUCAAGCUCAGCUUGGUGUUGGGCGUCUGUCCCGCUUCGUGCGCGGACUCGCCUUAAAUGCAUUGGCAGCGGUCUUGCCAGCUUCUCGCGCAGCACAUUGCGCUUCUAGAGGCUUUGGCGGAUCGGCGUCCAUCAAGUACACCCACAGUUUGACCUCGGAUCAGGUAGGGAUACCCGCUGAACUUAA
rnacentral:misc_RNA from 1 species